rnacentral:hammerhead_ribozyme from 1 species
GCACUGCUGACGAGUUCCAAACAGGACGAAACAGCUUUCUAGUGC